rnacentral:lncRNA from 1 species
UGAUUGGGCAGAUUUUGUAAAGUUGUUGUGUUCUUUUAAGCUGGGACAGAGGCCAGCUGCGGACUGGCAGCCAAGAGUGUCAGACGUCUGAGCUGAGAAUAGAGUCCUGAGGGUACUCGUGGCAUCUUGGGUUCUCUUGGAAAGUAGCAGCCACCAAGAUAUUAAAGAGAAUAGAAGGCAGCCAAGUGUUGUGGUACCACUGCUCCCAGCUCUGAGGAAGGGGCUUCCAGGCUGCUGUACCACUGCUCCCAGCUCAGAGGAAUGGGCUUCUGGGCCACUGUACCACCACUCCCAGUACAGAGGAGAAAAAGAAGAAAGAGGAGGAAGACAAGAAGAGAGAGGGAAAAAGAGAGGGAGAACAAGAAGAAAGAGACUCACCAGAUGCUGAUGCCUUGAUCAUGGACUUCCAAACCUCUAGAACUGAGAAAUAAAUCUUCGUUCAUUAUAAAUUACCCAGUGUGUGGUAUUCUGCUAAUAUGCUAUGGUUUUUGUGUG